rnacentral:rRNA from 1 species
UACGGGAAGGGCAAGCGUUAUCCGGCGUGACUGGGCGUAAAGAGUCCGUAGACGGUAAGUAAGUUUAUUGUUAAAUUUUAAAACUUAAUUUUAAGAAAGCAAUAAAUACUGCUUUACUUUGAGUUAAUAUAGAAAGUGGAAUUUAUAUGGUAGGGUGAAAUCGUAGAUAUAUAAAGGAAUGCCAACAGCGAAAGGCAACUUUUGGUAUAACUGACGUUGAGGACGAAAGUGUGGGAGCAAACAGGG